rnacentral:lncRNA from 1 species
GAAAAUUUUAUUAUAUUCUAAGGGCAUUUUGUUUGCCAAUCCUUUCUUCUACACUCUUCUUUGCUUACCAUUAACAAAGCCGAUGCUCUACUCAAGAAAGUACAAACUUUGAGUUCAUUCUUAACUGGGUAUUUUAAUUGCAGGUAAUUUUUCUCUCAAUUUUUGCUUUUAUCCUCUUAAAAUUCUUUUCAAAUUCCUCAACAUAGAGAAAGGGCUAGAGUUUCGGAAAAAAAUUUAAGAACAAACAUAUCACUGAAUCUAUUUUUGUAUUUGUUCCAGUGGAUUGAAGAACCGAAUCCUAUAUGGGUAUAUCUAUACACAGAAAAUCUAUAGUUUUUAUGGGAUUAUAAUAACGAUUAGAGAGGCAUGGCUCAAGCUCUCUCUGUCAAACAACAAUAGGGAAUAAAAGCAACGGAUUUGUGUUAAGCUCCGGGUCUCUACCAUUGUUGUCGAUAGAUUGACGUUGGGCAUCCAUCUCUGAGCUUUCUAUUAUUAUUUUUAUCUCUAAUGUAACUGUUCUCUCUUCUCAACCAAUUUGAUACCAAAAAUCAAAUUCUUCUUUUUCCUCCUCAAGGUUCCAGUCUCAGGAGCUUAUCAACAAAAAAAAAUAAAAAUCUUGCACCCGCCACUUUCAUAAACCCUGAAGGUACAUUGGUUGAAGCUUUUUUAUUAUAAGCUUCCCUGUACAAGUAAAUUUGCUAUUUUUGACAUUAUGUACGCACGGCUGAAUGCUGAUGAAUCAAAUGGUGGUGACUCGUGAGUGAUCCUGACAUUUUUUGGCUCAUCUUCAUGAGGUUCGUUUUAUACAAUUUUAGCCCUUCAGUUUCAAGUGACAAAGAUGUAGGAUUAAAUGUACUUAAGAUUGUUGUAAUUGAAGCUCUCAAGCAUUAGUUUAGUUUUGAGUUAUUUCUGAAUAUAUUUUCUAGAGAGUUGUUUUAUCUGUUGAUUCAAUUCUGAUGAGGAUAUCUUUUAUUGUAUAGUCACAGGCUGCUGUUGUGUGUGUUGCUUAUCUUCUAUGAUCGAAUUUGAUUGUCAAUUAAUUUUCUAUACAAUUAAUAGAUAAAAUUGGUGUUUAUAUCUCUUUAAAGAUUUCUUUCUUCCCUAAAUAUUUCUUGUGGAAUAUCAGUAAUAGUGCUUUGUGGAAUUUGCAAGAAACUAAUGAAGCACCUCAAAUGAUGCUAAAUUAUAUAUAUAUGACACUGAUAUUCUGCUUCCAAUUAUCUAUAUCCAAGUUCCAUUUGUUCCCUUUGAUUUUCCUUUCAGUAUCUCCACCAUUUGCUCUUUGUUUGUUAUAAGGUUCUUCUGUGUUAUUUUUGGUUUUCUUCUAUUUACGUUUUACAUAAUGUGAGUUUUGAGCAAAAAGCUAUAUCAUAAUGACUUGUGUUUAUUUAAUUAUUUGUUGUGGUCAUACUGAAAGUCAAUCACUUCAUCUGUCUCUUUUUGUGAUCUGAAGGCCUGAAAAUCACACUAAAGACCGAUGACAUUAAAAGAGAAUUCAUGAAAUUAAAAAUUUAACAUUAAAGGAUAAAAAUUUAGAUGUGCUGUCAUUUAAUUUUGUUUUUAGAAUCUGUUGUAUAAUUCCCUUUCUUAAAUUACCUGAAUUGUUCUGCAAGUGAAGAUUAUUUUUUUUGGUAACAACUGUAAAAUAUUACCAUAACCACCCAAGAACGGAUACAAAUAAAGAGCACCUAAUUCUGAUAAUAGAGAACAGGCCUCCUACCAAACAUAAAACCAAUUACAUAACAAAUGUUGAAUAAAGUGUCUACAAUUUUUUUGCUUUCUUUGAACUACUAAGUGUAAUCUUUCAAUAAUUUCCUUAUUUAUCUGUGUUACUGCCUCCUUCGUAUGUACACGUUUGUCUGUAAACCUCCUCCAAUUCCUGGCACGCCAAGUGUGGUAUAUGAUAUCUCCACAGAUAGCUGCCAUGAUCUCCUUUUUAAUUGCUUCCGGUGAUUACCUUUUAUGUUUUCCAGGACCUUCAUGAUACUAAUAAUCUGCACUGGUAUUUCAGUCCAAUGGUGCAUAACUUGCCACACAGCUAAUGUCCAUUUGCAUUUCUCGAAUAGGUGAACAUUAGUCUCCAUUACUUUCUCAUCACAUAAACAACAUUCAGUGUCAUCAACCUGAAUAUUCAAUCUCAGCUUUCUCUCCUGUGUAAGAUUUCUAUUUCACUAGAGUAUUAUAUUAUUAAAAGAAUUAAUUAUUGAACAUAAAUUUGCUUCAUAGUCAAAGCACACCAGUAAAAAAGAGUUGGUAUCAAUGAAAACAAAAUUAUGACAUGAGAGAUUAGUACACUUGACUUGAACACAAGUUUCAAAAUAAACCAUGAAGAGAAAACAAAUAAAUAAUUAGCCAUCUUUAUAAUUCUAUACACAAAAUGGAGAUGAAAGUGUAGGUCAGAAAGACCACAGAUUACAGAACUAUGAUCACCAGUCAUCUUUCCUUCUCCGUUGGAUGGCAUUUUAGUUCACUUUUCUCCAUUCUUUUUACACACCUUAUCUCAGAAUCUCCCAUCAAAUUUAACUCUGUGUGUGUGGCGUACCUAGAAUCUAACAACAUCUUUUGACUAAAUACCAUCCUAAAUUACCCCUACAUUUAUACAGUGUGCUAUUGGAAGUUACUCACUUUAGGAAACAUGAAGUUCUUAUCUUUAAUCUAUCACUUACUUGGUUGUUUAAGUUAUUUUUAUUUUAUUGCACGGAGAGUUACUUACAUUUUGAAAAAUGUUGUUCUAAGCUUUUAACAAUUAUUUAUUUGGCGUUCACACUUUGUGAGUGCUCUCUUCAAAACGUGGAAAAAAUAUAUCCUAAAUAGCUUCUACGACAAUCGCAGUAAUGCAUCAAACAAUGACACUGUAGUUUAUCUGAAUUACUCACCUAAUCAAUUAAGAUCUUGACACACUUUCUACAGAUCUUUUAAGAUCCUAGAUGAAACAUAAGUAUCUUUAAAGUUAUAGCUCGCUAAUUACUAUUUUUUGCACUCAGUUUUAGAAUUCUUUAGUUGACGAUUGGUGUUUACUUGAUUUUUGAAGGUAUUUCAAAACAUCUCCCUGUUAUGUGUUUCCGGGAUAGCAAAGGUUGGCUACUAAGCUAGGUAUUGUAUCUCCAACACAAUUGAAAUGAUAGAUCAAGUUAGCUCUGCAAUAUUUACUAAAACUGUAAGUUCUUGAAAUCUUUUGGAUAUCUUUCAUCUUAAAUAUCAGUAGAUUUUCUUAAAUAUUUGUUCAAGGUUCUUCAUUCCUCCAACUGGCCGUGGUUUAGUGUUUAUGUGAUUAUACUUGUUGUCAUUGUUACAGUUCCUUACAUAUAUGCUCCGCAUUAUUUUGUUAAAAGUGUAGAUAGGUAAUAUAAUUAUUCUACAUCACUAUAGUGUAAGAGUAAGUAUGCUAACCAAAAGGGCACUGUGUGUAAUUGCAUCAGGGGCGUAAUAAUAAAAAUUUCUAUUAAUUCUAUUGUAUAGAAACAUGAAGAGCUAGGACGACCAAUGGCAUAACCAUAAAUAUACUCAAUAUUGAAGGGUAAUAUGGUCAUUAUACAACACUAAUUUUUUAGCAAUUAACAUGCGCCUCUUCUAUUUUCCUUCUAGAACAUUCUCUCUCUUCCUUCCAUGUUGCAAUUAAGAGAUGACUCAAGAAAAAGAAUUGGUAAAUUGAUCGGAUCUUUCCUAAACCUCCUCUCUCUAGACCUAAUAUGUGAUCUAUCUAUUUCAUAGACUUCUCUUGUGAUGCUACUAAAGCAGGAAUGGGUGGUGUAAAUGGUUUAAUUAUCGGUAUAUAUAAUCGGUUUAUACACAUAGGUAGCUUUAUGAACUUUAAAAAGGAUAUCUAGAAGGAUUGUAACAUGUCAUAUUCUACAAUUCUGAAGAGUAAGCAUGAUGAAUCUUUCUGAUUGAUAAAAAUGGCCUCGAGAGGGAUUGUAACAUGUCAUAUUUUUACAAUUGUGAAGAAUAAGCAUAUGUUGGAAUAUGAAUUUCAUAAAUUGUUGUUUCUUUCUGAUGAAUGUAGUAUAAUUGGUGCAGGUGAUUGACGGUUUAGUUCCAUUAACAGAGAUGUUCAAUUGCGUUAGUAAAACUUGAAAGGGAAUGACAAAGGAGCAUGCAUCGUACAUUAUGCAAUUAGGCAAGUUUGAUGUUGUCCCUCAACACAUUCAAAUCAGCUUGCCAAAAAGGAAGAAGCAGCAGUUGUUUAGUCAGUCAGCUUUCAAAUUUGGAUCCACGAACUUAAAAAUAGGUAUUUUUACUCAAUGAAGGGACUGCUCUUUGACAUCAUCUUGUCUUUUGGUGUUGCAAUUUCAGUUUGAUCUUUUAUCUUAAUUUUAGCCAUUAUUUUAAGAUUCUCUUUACAUUUUCCAACAUGGUUGAAGCGGUUAUAUUUUGACUAGCUUUCACUGCCAUAAAUUUCAUAGAGGCAAGUCAACAUGCCGGUUUUAUACUGAUUUGUUGUGAAUUUCAACCUCUUACUUGUUCUCCUAUGCUUGGUGGUUAAUUUCUUUAAAUUUUUUUACUCAACGGUUAGUCUCCCGUGGUUUCCACUCCAAGUCCACCAAUCCAACGUAAACUUGCCAACAUCGUAUUUCAUGAAACUUGUGUGCACUUACCAAACUACCCUGCCCCUUCGCCCUCAACCAUUAGCUCCCACGCCUAAUAACAAGGACAUCAUAGUAAAAUCACUUUGUUACCGUAAUCGAACAGACCCCAUAGAAUAUAGUUGGACUGGUUAUUUUUUUCUUUAACUUCUUUAAUAAUAAUUAAGAAUCUACGUUAACACUUGACUAAUAGUAUAUGAGUUCCCUCUGUUCUUUUUUCCAUCAUAAAGUUUAAUUUUUCUUUGUUGUUUCUAAAUUAAAACUUGUAUUCUUUUAAUUCCAAUCUUUUAACCUUUUAGGUGAACCAAGAAAAGAAAAAAUGUUGGAUGCAUAAAAGAAUAACAAGUUUUAUUCCCAAUGGUAAGAGUGACAAUUUGUUAGGGUUGGUUUUUUUUUUCCAUAAAUAUUUUUCAGAAUGUAGAAAAUUAUUUUUCUUGUUAAUUUUGCUUAUGUUGUGGGAAUUUUCUGAUAUAACAAGAGUCUACAAUCAGGCAGACGAAAACUCAAAUCGAAAUGAUCAGGAAGUAGAGAUAUGCAAUGUAGAAAUAUUUGAAGAAUGAUAUAACUGGCGUCUUAAAAUAUGGAUUGGAUGUCAACCCCUGCCACAGGGUAAUUUUCUUUUGUUGGAAUUGAUCCAUCUAUAUAUUCUGUUAUUCUAUCACUUAGUUUUAUUUUAUAUGGCCUCUUUCUUUAUACUGAUUUGUUGUGAGUUUUAGUUUUAUUUUAUAUGGCCUGUUUCUUUAUACUGAUUUGUUUGAGUUUCAACCUCUUACGUGUUCUCCUAUUCUUUGGUGGUUAAUUCCAUUAGUUUUUUUGUAUGUGCAUGUUAGUUCGUGCACAUAUCUUUUCUUCUACUUGAUUUUCCUAAAACCAAAUACACGCUAUCACUAAGAAUAAUGGUCUAUUGAGUUCUCUUCCUCUCAAUGCAACUGCAUUGCUUUGGCUAAUUUAUAUGAGCUUAAGGAAAAAGAAAAUGUAGAGUGAAUUUUUUAAAAAGAAAAUGUAGAGUGAUUUUUUUUUCUUUCUUUCUUUUCGGUGAUUACUAAGAAAGGCUAAUGAUCUAAAUUUAUGCAUUCUCUAAGUUGGUCUUUUUCAUAAGCACCAUGCCAAGUCAAAAAGGGCCACAUAAAAUAGGAUAGAUGGAGUAUAAUUUUUUUUUAAAUGUACUUCCUAUCAUAAAUAGUUAUUUUUGUAAUGAAAAAAUUAACAUAAAAUGUAUUCUUGAUAAAAAUAUUAGCCCCCCCCCCCUCCCCCUAAAAUUGAGGGCCCAAGGCAUGUGCUUACUUUUUAUAGCAUAGAGUUUACCAUGUGUUGCAAUUCUCAAGCCUUAAUUAGCUCUUGAAGAAGGUUAGCAACCACAUAUAUCUUCCUUCUCAGAAAUAUUUAUGCACAAAUAUACUUAUAUACGUGCAAGAUGUUUUAACAGUAAAUAUUGAAAUAUAGCGCAAGACUCUUCUCAUAUGAGCCAGACAUGUUUCAAUAUUCUAUGUGCUAAGAGGAUUCUUCCAUGAUUGUGAUUUUGAAUUUUGCAAUGUGAAUGACAGGAAUACUUUCUUGAAUCUAUUUCCUUAGGGCAUUGAGUGAAGGUUGUUCCUUUCAAAUUCACAUAUAACUUGGUAUAUGUUAAUUCUUUGUGGUUAUCUUCAGUAUUUUAUUUUAAAUUGACAUAUAACUUGUAAUAUGCUGGUUCUUUGUGAUUGUCUUCACUAUUUUAUUUUUACUUUUGCUUUAAGUGCUACUAUUUUUAUGAACAGUUGUUAUUUCGGAACUUUUAUUCCUUUCCUUGAGAUAUUAAAGCUGGAGUAUAUAGUUCGUGCUGAGUGAAGGAAAUUUUGCAUCUUAUCAAGACAAUUGCAAACACUCGAGGCAUCAAUGGAUUUAUGAAACGGAAUUUUAUUACUCUACAUGCAGCUCCAUUUAAGGAUACCAACUUCUAUUCUUUUGAAAAAUACAGAGAGCAUCUACUCAAAUUUACUACUAAUGAUUCAAGGCAUCACUAGAUUUUGUAAAAUGAAUUUUGUCAUAUUCUAUGAUUAGCUCUAUGUAAGUCUAUCCACUUCUAUUUUCUUAUGAUAAAUAUUGAAAAGUAUUUAGAAGAUAGUUGUCUGCAAUGUAAAGUUAUUUGUGGAAAGGGAGAAAUUAGUUGUAUUAUUGCACUUUGAAGUUCAUUUGUAUAACUUAUGCAAUGAUCUAUUAGCUUUUACAAUAUAUACUCUUAUCCGAGUAACUAUGCAAAGUACAUACCACUUGAAAAUGCUAAAUGUUGGGCCCGUGUAAGCACGGGCUAUAUCCAUCUAGUCUAUCUAUUAUAUAGAAACGUGAUGAGAGGACGACCACUGGCAAUACCGUAAUUAUACUCAUUUUUAAGGGUAAAAUGUAAUACAGCUGUUUUUAAGAAAAUUAGAAGCACUCCUUUCUUUUCACUUUAGAUAUUUUUUGUUUUUCUUAUUCUUUCUUAUGUUACUACUAGAUAAUGUGGCCCGUGCUAUAAUAUAAAUGGUAUGUUUUGGGGCUAAUAAUCGAGUUUUUGAAGCGAUUGUUUGCGUGGAUAAAGGAAUUAAGUUUUUUUUUAUCACAAACCUGUACUUUCUUUGACACUAUUUAAGGCAUAAUAAGACUACCCACAUACAACAUUUUUGAAAUAUUUUAUGUUGUCAAUUAUCAUGAUUUAUAGUAUUUUUACGAUAGAUUCACUUCAAGAAUCAGUGGAAUUUUUUGUAUUUUUUUCAAAACAUAUUUUAUAUUGUCAAUUAUCAAGAUUUAUAGUAUUUUUACGCAAUUUUUAAAUAUAAAAAUAAANNNNNNNNNNNNNNNNNNNNNNNNNNNNNNNNNNNNNNNNNNNNNNNNNNNNNNNNNNNNNNNNNNNNNNNNNNNNNNNNNNNNNNNNNNNNNNNNNNNNNNNNNNNNNNNNNNNNNNNNNNNNNNNNNNNNNNNNNNNNNNNNNNNNNNNNNNNNNNNNNNNNNNNNNNNAAGGUUAGCAAAAAAAUAUAUCUUCCUUCUCAGAAAUAUUUAUGCACAAAUAUACUUAUAUACGUGCAAGAUGUUUUAACAGUAAAUAUUGAAAUAUAGCGCAAGACUCUUCUCAUAUGAGCCAGACAUGUUUCAAUAUUCUAUGUGCUAAGAGGAUUCUUCCAUGAUUGUGAUUUUGAAUUUUGCAAUGUGAAUGACAGGAAUACUUUCUUGAAUCUAUUUCCUUAGGGCAUUGAGUGAAGGUUGUUCCUUUCAAAUUCACAUAUAACUUGGUAUAUGUUAAUUCUUUGUGGUUAUCUUCAGUAUUUUAUUUUAAAUUGACAUAUAACUUGUAAUAUGCUGGUUCUUUGUGAUUGUCUUCACUAUUUUAUUUUUACUUUUGCUUUAAGUGCUACUAUUUUUAUGAACAGUUGUUAUUUCGGAACUUUUAUUCCUUUCCUUGAGAUAUUAAAGCUGGAGUAUAUAGUUCGUGCUGAGUGAAGGAAAUUUUGCAUCUUAUCAAGACAAUUGCAAACACUCGAGGCAUCAAUGGAUUUAUGAAACGGAAUUUUAUUACUCUACAUGCAGCUCCAUUUAAGGAUACCAACUUCUAUUCUUUUGAAAAAUACAGAGAGCAUCUACUCAAAUUUACUACUAAUGAUUCAAGGCAUCACUAGAUUUUGUAAAAUGAAUUUUGUCAUAUUCUAUGAUUAGCUCUAUGUAAGUCUAUCCACUUCUAUUUUCUUAUGAUAAAUAUUGAAAAGUAUUUAGAAGAUAGUUGUCUGCAAUGUAAAGUUAUUUGUGGAAAGGGAGAAAUUAGUUGUAUUAUUGCACUUUGAAGUUCAUUUGUAUAACUUAUGCAAUGAUCUAUUAGCUUUUACAAUAUAUACUCUUAUCCGAGUAACUAUGCAAA